UAAUCUACCUUAUUCUUAAUGAUAUUUUAUUCUCAACAUCUCCUUCCAUUUUACACAGCUUCAUCUUUUUAACUGGAAAAUUCAGGUUUAAGGAGAGCACAAAAAUUGGCCUGACAACAUGAUCUAAUGAACCACAAAACAGUCUUCGAGGAGAAAAAGUAGCAGGAAGUUCCCUCAUACAAGCAGCAUUCCCCCUUCAGAGGAAGAGAAAUCAUGCUGAGACAACUCACUACUGCAAAUUAAUGAAGUGACUGCAUACAACUCUUUAUUUACGUAAAAUAUAGUUGGUGGAGGGGGAGAUGACAAUUUGAACAAAGUUCCUCCUCGYCUGGAUUGUCAACUGACUCUGCCUUUGGAUCUCACGUGAAUAAAACCCAGCUGGAAUCCAGUCCUGGUGAACAGGGAGUGAAACAGUGUGUCAUCAGAGCCAUAUUUGGUACAGAGCUCUAUGUUACUGCAGCUGUGCUUCUUCUGGAAGAAAAGGACAAAAAGAAGCAGAAUAGUAUUCAGAAGAGAAACUGAGGGAGAGAGAAAAUGAAGUUCCAUUUUCAAAAUGGCAAAAAUAAGAUGUAAGAAAUCCUUACGGUAAGU
rnacentral:lncRNA from 1 species